rnacentral:misc_RNA from 1 species
GUUGCACAAUUACGGGAAACCAAGAAACUAAAUAUGAUCUAACAUUUUACAGAUUUUCCUAUUCGGCCUAUACCUUAAGAAAAUCAGAAAAUUCUUAAAGAAAUGUAUGGCUUUGAUAUUUUUGUCUAAAUAUAGGAUAAAGUCGAAACCGAUGUUCUAAGUAUAGGAGAGUCAAAGCCAAUUAUAUGUACCCUCUACACAUGUACUCAUCCAAAAUCGCAUGGAUUUGCCUACAUUACAACUGACAGAAGCCAAUUUUACCAGCAAACACCCUCAGCCGAAAAACGGGUGAUUGCUUUGUGAAAUCUCAGCACAAAUGUUUAACCGUCUCGGGAGGACUAAAUGUAUACA